AACUAACCAGGAUUCCCCUAGUAACGGCGAGUGAAGAGGGAAAAGCCCAGCACCGAAGCCUGCGGCAGGUUUGCUGUUAGGCAAUGUGGUGUUUGGGUCGGCUCGUGGGACUACCACUCCACUCGAAGUCCAGCAUUGAGUAUGGUUACUGGAUUUGGCCCAGAGAGGGUGAAAGGCCCGUACGGGUGGAGUAUCAGACAUGUGAGGUGGUUCACCAGGUCGACCUUAGAGUCGGGUUGUUUGGGAAUGCAGCCCAAAGUGGGUGGUAAACUCCAUCCAAGGCUAAAUACAAGCACGAGUCCGAUAGCGAACAAGUACCGUGAGGGAAAGUUGAAAAGUACUCUGAAGAGAGAGUAAACAGUACGUGAAACCGCAUGCAGGUAAACGGGUGGCGUCAAGCUGCAAGCCCGGAGAAUUCAGCCGGCUAGGUUGUUGUGUAUGCGCCUGGCGCAUCCAUCAGUCAGAGUAUGAUUGGGUAGUCCACUAGUAAACAGUGGGCCUGUCCGCAAGGUCAGGAUAUGUGUACCGGGUGGGUGCCGGAGCAUGCUACCCGUCUGAGGACUGUCUAGCCGGUGCACUUUCUCCGUGGUCAACACCACGACCGGUGGUAUUGCCAGUCUGCUGUGUCCAAGUCGCAUUUGGUAGGUCCUUGUGGCCAACCGAGUGCGAUCACAGGCAAACUCAGUAAACGGCGUGAGGGUGCUUCGGCACUUUCAUGUGUUAUCGGCUACUGGUUGUCAACGGGCCUGCUCUGUGUUUGUUGUAACCGACACGGGGUGGUCUGGUGGGGCAUGGUGGUAAGAAUAACUGUGCAAGGCACUGGGGUUAUCGGCCUCAAAUGCGUCCUGCGUCCACGUUGCAAGUGUUUGUAGGUAUGGCGUCGCUGCUGCCUGCUCGGUGCUGGGUGUGAUUGGCGUGUCGCCUGCGCAAAGUAGGCCCGUCAAUGGCUCGGUUCGAGGUGGGNNGUUGGUGGCGUUGUCGAUGGCGUAGGGCGCGGUGGGCCUAAUAGU
rnacentral:rRNA from 1 species